AAUACAUUUUUUUGUAUUGCCUUAAUUAAAUUAAAAAUUUUAUUUUAGUUUAAAAUUAUUAACUAAAGAUAAAUGUAUAGUAAUUGAAUUUUUAAAAUAGAGUUUUAUUAACAUUUAAUAUUAGUAGGUUAAAGAAAUUUAAUUUUAAAUCAUUUUUUUAUGUCAACUAAUAUAAGUGCCAGCAGUUGCGGUUAAACUUGUAACUUAAUAAUUAAAUUCUACCUAAAUUAAAUUUCUAUACUGAAUUAAAGAAAAAACUUUAGAAGUAAAAUUUAAUGUUUUAGCACAGUCUUUAAAAUUAAAAUUUAAAAAACUAAUAAAAACUAGGAUUAGAUACCCUACUAUAAGUCUAAUUUUUAAAUAAAGUAGUAAAAGUUAAUUCUUCAAACUUAAAAAAUAUGGCGGUAUUUUAAUCUAAUUAGAGGAAUCUGCUUAGUAAUCGAUACUCCACGAGCUAUUCUACGUAUUAAUAUUAAUUUAUAUAUCGCUGUUAAAUACAAAUUUAAAAAUUAAGUGUGCUCACAUAAUAGUAUAAAAAUCAAGUCAACACAUAAUUUAUAUUACGCUAGUUGUGGAUUACAUUUACUUUAAGUUAUUAAAAUGAUAAUUAAAACUUCAGAAAACAGGAUUUAAAAUUAAAAUUUUAUAGACUAAGAAUUUAAAUAAGUAAUAAAAUAUGUACAAAUUGCCCGUCACUCUUAACUAAAUUAAGAUAAGUCGUAACAAAGUAAGCUUACUGGAAAGUAAAUUUAGAUUAAA
rnacentral:ncRNA from 1 species